UACGUAGGGUGCAAGCGUUGUCCGGAAUUAUUGGGCGUAAAGAGCUCGUAGGCGGUCUGUUGCGUCGGCUGUGAAAACCCGAGGCUCAACCUCGGGCCUGCAGCCGAUACGGGCAGACUAGAGUUCGGCAGGGGAGACUGGAAUUCCUGGUGUAGCGGUGAAAUGCGCAGAUAUCAGGAGGAACACCAAUGGCGAAGGCAGCACUCUGGGACGUGACUGACGCUGAGACGCGAAAGCGUGGGGAGCAAACAGG
rnacentral:rRNA from 1 species